rnacentral:rRNA from 1 species
GCGUGAGUGAAGAAGGCCUUAGGGUUGUAAAGCUCUUUCACCCGUGACGAUGAUGACGGUAGCGGGAGAAGAAGCCCCGGCUAAUUCCGUGCCAGCAGCCGCGGUAAUACGGAAGGGGCUAGCGUUGUUCGGAUUUACUGGGCGUAAAGCGCGCGUAGGCGGCGAAUCAAGUUAGGCGUGAAAGGCCUGGGCUCAACCUGGGAACGGCGCUUAAGACUGAUUUGCUAGAGUCCGGGAGAGGGUGGUGGAACUCCCAGUGUAGAGGUGAAAUUCGU